CCUCCUAGAUCACUAAGGAAAGGGAUUAACUGAGAAACACCGCAUCUUACAACUUAACAUCACAAAGCCAUAUGCUAAAUUCCACUAAGUCAAUAAGCCUUGGCUCUUACCUGCUCAGCAGCUAAUGCUUCCCCGUAGUUCUCCAGAAAGUUCCCCACAAUGACAGAACCCACAAUAGUGAGACCCUUUCCAGCUUUAAGCUGUGAGGCAAAGGUGAGGAGGCGAGGAUGCUUGACGUGUAAAUCUUCAUCUAGUUUCAGCAACACAAGUAACUGAGGCCUGUAAAGAUGUUGGCAGGAGGGUGGAAGAGAGAAAACACUUUGGGUUUGGGGAAGAGAAUGUCAAUUCUACCUUUUAAUUCAGGAGAUCUGUAUAAAACAUGUAAUUGGGCAGGAGGAAGAGAUUAAAGGGAACGACAGGAUGAGGGUGUAUGUUUACUUGAAUCCUCACAGUAUUACCACAAAUUGAUCAUUUUGCAAGGAACAAUAAAAAUGGUAGAAGUCUAGAUCAAAUAUCCCAUGAAGAAAGUAUGAAGGAUUUGGAAUCAUUCAAAACAGGUGCAUUAUACCAAUUCCUCAAGCUGCUUGAAUUCCUUAUCCUGUAAUCAUUGAAACACACCAUUCUGUGUGUUAACCAUGUGCCAAGCACCACACCACUAAGCUCUCUUGAUUUCUUUACCUCCAGUUUUUAGUGUGUGGAGGGCCUUCUUCGAGCCGAAGCAAAGCAAACCGGGCUGCACUGAGGGAUAGUCCACGGAUUCCAUCCCCCCAUUCUUUCUCUGCUCUGGGAGAAAAAAAGAGAAAACAGCAGGGACAGAUUUAAACCACAGCAGCAUCCACCUGGACAGUGUAUUUAUCCUCUAGCACAGGAACCUUCAGGGCAUUAAAUUUCUCAAAGUCAUCUACCAAGCCAGCCUUUGCCACAAUGGCCUUGUAAUAAGCCCAGUCGACAGCAGGUGGUUUCUCACGAAGAGUAGCCAACCUGGAGGAGUCCAUGGAUCCUUAUCAAGCCUAGCUCUUUCCUAAAUCUGCUAUUGUUACCCUCAUCCCAAGGCUCUUGUCUAGCCCUUGAGGAACAAACAAGCCCUGUGCCAUCCCUCACUGACAGAGCUCCCACAGAACCCAGGCAACACGUGCACCUGGAUCCAGGGGCCACUCGGCUCAAAUAAGGCAGAUGAUGGCUGGAAUCAGGAACAGAGAGAUAGUGAAAUCUAACCUUCCCAGAACCUGCUCUGAAAAGUUCUGUUUACAGACUAAUACUAAAAACAUUUAAAACCUGGCAAAUAGGUCAAAAAUUUUAAAAGCCUGUUAAGUGCAAAUAUCUGUGAGUUAUAUCAUUUUCAACUACUGCCCUAAUGAUAAGCUCUGGAAAUAAAAAAGAUCUUAAUGUUACUUGGACUUCAAGGAUAUGACUAGAUGAAUGAAUAGUAAAAUAACUAUGUUAAAUAAAAGAAGUCAGACAAAAGACAGCACAUUCUCUAGGAUUCCAUUCAUAUAGAAUUCUAGGAAAUGGUAAACAAAUGUACAGUGACAAAAAAGCAGAUCAACGGUUGCCUGGAGACCAGGGAAUUAGGUGAGUGGGUUACAAAAGGGUACAAGGAAACAUUUUGAGGCGAUGGAAAUGUUCAUUAUGAUAGUCAUUUCCGGGGCAUAUACAGAUGUCAAAACUCAUCAAAAUGUACACUUCAAACAUGUGCAAUCUAUUUCACAUCAAUUAUACCUCAAUAAAACUUUAAAAGAAAUACUGGUUGGGAAAAAUAUUUGUAAUUUAUAUCAUAAAGAGCUGAUAUCCCUAAAUAUAAAGAACAUCUAAAGAUAAAAACACCAACAGGUAAGAGGUAUGAACAGAAAGUUUGAAAUUUUCCAUAAUAAAAAUAUAUAAUUUCUAAAAAAUAUUAGGACACUAUUCUUAGCCCUCAUAUAAUUCACAAUAUGGUUGAAGAGAUAUGGAUAUAAUUAUGAAGUCAUUGCAAGUUCAGGCCAUACUGCAAAGUAUAUGUGCUGAUAGAUAUGGAUAGAUACAAUGAUCAAAGUUGGGGUAGAGGAUCAGGCAAGUUCAUCUUGGAGGGUCUUGAGAUGAUGGAGUCUGUACAAUUUUUUUGUGGUAGACAGGAAGUAGGAAGAAGAGAAGAGGGUUCAGAUGAAAAACAUGAACAAAGGCAAUGUGAUUGGGGAGGGGGUGGAGAUAAAGACAGCUUUUGAAAAGGACUCUUGCUGAGUGAAGUAAGUCAGUCCGAGAAGGACAAACAUUAUAUGUUCUCAUUCAUUUGGGGAAUAUAAAUAAUAGUGAAAGGGAAAAUAAGGGAAGGGGGAAGAAAU